rnacentral:rRNA from 1 species
CCUACGGGUGGCUGCAGUCGAGAAUUUUUCUCAAUGGGGGAAACCCUGAAGGAGCGACGCCGCGUGGAGGAUGAAGGUCUUCGGGUUGUAAACUCCUGUCAUUUGGGAACAAGUGUCGGUACCUAACUGCUACCGGCUUUAUAGUACCAGAAGAGGAAGAGACGGCUAACUCUGUGCCAGCAGCCGCGGUAAUACAGAGGUCUCAAGCGUUGUUCGGAUUCAUUGGGCGUAAAGGGUGUGUAGGUGGCGCGCUAAGUCGGGUGUGAAAUUUCGGAGCUUAACUCCGAAACUGCAUUCGAUACUGGCGUGCUUGAGGACUGGAGAGGAGACUGGAAUUCAUGGUGUAGCAGUGAAAUGCGUAGAGAUCAUGAGGAAGACCAGUGGCGAAGGCGGGUCUCUGGACAGUUCCUGACACUGAGACACGAAGGCCAGGGGAGCAA